CGUAGCGCACAGCUCAGUAACACGUGGCCAACCUGCCCUUGGGACGGAAACACCCCGGGAAACUGGGGCUAAUUUCCGAUAGGUGAAGACUCCUGGAAUGGAUUUCGCUCAAAGGGCGCCUAUGGCAUGCUCCUGGGCGUUGCCAAGGAUGGGGCCGUGGCCGAUCAGGUUGUUGGUGAGGUAAUGGCCCACCAAGCCUUUAACCGGUACGGGCCGUGGGAGCGGUAGCCCGGAGAUGGGCACUGAGACAAGGGCCCAGGCCCUACGGGGCGCAGCAGUCGCGAAAACUUCGCAAUAAGCGAAAGCUUGACGGGGCCAUCCCGAGUGCCAUCUGCUGAGGAUGGCUUUUACCCAGUAUAGAUAGCUGGGGGAAUAAGGAGAGGGCAAGUCUGGCGUCAGCCGCCGCGGUAAUACCAGCUCUCCGAGUUGUAGGGAUGUUUAUUGGGCCUAAAGCAUCCGUAGCCGGCUGGACAAGUCCCCUGUUAAAUCCAGCGACCAAUCGUUGGUCUGCGGGGGAUACUGUCCGGCUAGGGGGCGGGAGAGGCCGUCGGUAUUCUUGGGGUAGGGGUGAAAUCCUAUAAUCCCAGGAGGACCACCAGUGGCGAAGGCUGUCGGCUAGAACGCGCCCGACGGUGAGGGAUGAAAGCUGGGGGAGCGAACCGGAUUAGAUACCCGGGUAGUCCCAGCUGUAAACGAUGCAGGCUAGGUGUUAGGGCGGCUACGUGCCGCUCUAGUGCCGCAGGGAAGCUGUUAAGCCUGCCGCCUGGGGAGUACGNCCGCAAGGCUGAAUUU
rnacentral:rRNA from 1 species